GAUUAAGCCAUGCAAGUCUAAGUAUAAGUCAUAUACGGCGAAACUGCGAACGGCUCAAUUAAAACAGUUAUAAUUUAUUUGAUAAUGCUUCUAUAUGGAUAACCAUUUUGGGAAACUAUGGCUAAUACAUGCUUAAAGACCUUCGGGGUUGUAUUUAUUAGUUUUGACCAAUCUUAGAUUGUGAGGAGUCAUAAUAACUGAUCGAAGCGCACUUGUGUGCGCUAAAUCUUUCAAGUAUCUGCCCUAUCAGAUUGUUGGUAGUGUAUUGGACUACCAAGUCGAUCACGGGUAACGGAGAAUUAGGGUUCGAUUCCGGAGAGGGAGCCUGAGAAACGGCUACCACAGCUACGGUAGGCAGCAGGUGCGUAAAUUACCCAAUCCAAAAUCUGGAAGGUAGUUACAGGAAAUUUGUUGCAUGGGGUUCUACCCCAGACACAAACGAACACAUGUAAGUAUUGUGUGUUUAAUUGGAGGGCAAGUUUUGGUGCCAGCAGCCGCGGU
rnacentral:rRNA from 1 species